rnacentral:rRNA from 1 species
CGACUACGAGUUUGAUCCUGGCUCAGGAUGAACGCUAGCGGCAGGCCUAAUACAUGCAAGUCGAACGGUAAGGCCCUUUCGGGGGUACACGAGUGGCGGACGGGUGCGUAACGCGUAUGCAACAUGCCUUCCAGCGGGGGAUAUACCAGGGAAACUUGGCGCAAUACCCCAUAGAAUUACGGGACCGCAUAGUCUUGUGAUUAAAACUCCGGUGCUGGGAGAUUGGCAUGCGUGACAUUAGCUAGUUGGCGGGGUAACGGCCCACCAAGGCGACGAUGUCUAGCUGGUCUGAGAGGAUGAUCAGCCACACUGGGACUGAGACACGGCCCAGACUCCUACGGGAGGCAGCAGUAGGGAAUUUUGGACAAUGGGCGCAAGCCUGAUCCAGCCAUUCCGCGUGCAGGGUGAAGGCCUUCGGGUUGUAAACUGCUUUUGUACGGAACGAAAAGGUUUUCUCUAAUACAGAGGGCUCAUGACGGUACCGUAAGAAUAAGCACCGGCUAACUACGUG